rnacentral:rRNA from 1 species
UACGGAGGGUGCAAGCGUUAUCCGGAUUCACUGGGUUUAAAGGGUGCGUAGGUGGGUUGGUAAGUCAGUGGUGAAAUCCCCGAGCUUAACUUGGGAACUGCCAUUGAUACUAUCAGUCUUGAAUACCGUGGAGGUCAGCGGAAUAUGUCAUGUAGCGGUGAAAUGCUUAGAUAUGACAUAGAACACCAAUUGCGAAGGCAGCUGGCUACACGAAUAUUGACACUGAGGCAACGAAAAGCGUGGGGGAUCAAACAGG